ACGAUUUGCAAAACUCCCUAAACCAUUGUGAACGUUACCUUAUACCGUUGCUUCGGCGGGCGGCCCGGGUCCUGCCCGGCGCCCCUCGGCCCCUCGCGGGCGCCCGCCGGAGGUAAACCAAACCAUUGAAUUGUAUGGCCUCUCUGAGUCUUCUGUACUGAAUAAGUCA
rnacentral:misc_RNA from 1 species